GGAUCUUUUAACCACAGAGAUGGUGCAUAAAUAAGAAAAACAAUAAGUGCACUAAUGCUUUUCUGGAAUUCCAUUGGUUUUCUGGAAAUUUUGGUGAAAGCAAGAUUUAAGACAGAGAGGUUCAUGUGCUAGGCCAUCGACACACCUCUCUUCAAGGUAAGGUCAGUUCUAAGGUCCCGAGUCGGUUAAUGUUGAUUUUGCUCAUGCACAACCCAUCAUAGGAGUCAGUAGGAUCAUCUUCAAUGGGUGUAUGGACUGCAAUAGUUAUCCGGUUUAAGGUGUGGUGGAUGGCGCACAAGAUGAAGGACAAGGGCGGCAGCAGCCCACAUGAGAUACAACUCCUGCUGGUGGAGUGAAGGCCCCGGGGCCUGCGGCGACGAGGAGGAAGACACGUCGUAGGAAACUAAGCUGGAUGGUGAGAAUGCUGAUGUUGUGGUUACUGGAGAUGAGAACGUGCAGCCUGACCAAACCAAGCCUAAGAGCUGUGUCCCUCACUCUGUUGAGCAUGUUUUGGUUGCACUGGUUAGUUGUUAAAGGCUUAGCAGUACCAACCAUGGCGCUGGUGCCGCGGACUCCCCG